AGAGUUUGAUCCUGGCUCAGAACGAACGCUGGNGGCAGGCCUAACACAUGCAAGUCGAGCGGCCGUAGCAAUACGGCAGCGGCAGACGGGAGAGUAACACGUGGGAACGCGCCCUUCGGUUCGGGAUAACUCAGGGNAAACUUGGGCUAAUACCGGAUACGCCCGAAAGGGGAAAGAAUUUCGCUAUAGGAUGGGCCCGCGUAGGAUUAGCUAGUUGGUGAGGUAAUGGCUCACCAAGGCGACCAUCCUUAGCUGGUUUGAGAGAACGACCAGCCACACUGGGGCUGAGACACGGCCCANACUCCUACGGGAGGCAGCAGUGGGGAAUAUUGGACAAUGGGCGCAAGCCUGAUCCAGCCAUGCCGCGUGAGUGAUGAAGGCCUUAGGGUUGUAAAGCUCUUUUGCCGGGGACGAUAAUGACGGUACCCGGAGAAUAAGUCCCGGCUAACUUCGUGCCAGCAGCCGCGGUAAUACGAAGGGGACUAGCGUUGUUCGGAAUCACUGGGCGUAAAGCGCACGUAGGCGGAUUCGUAAGUCAGGGGUGAAAUCCCGGGGGCUCAACCUCGAACUGCCUUUGAUACUGCGGGUCUUGAGUCCGAUAGAGGUGGGUGGAAUUCCUANUGUAGAGGUGAAAUUCGUAGAUAUUAGGAAGAACACCGGUGGCGAAGGCGGNCCACUGGAUCGGUACUGACGC
rnacentral:rRNA from 1 species